AGAGUUUGAUCAUGGCUCAGGAUGAACGCUGGCGGUGUGCCUUAGGCAUGCAAGUCGAACGAGAAGCCUUCGGGCUGAAAGUGGCAGACGGGUGAGUAACGAGUAGGAAUCUACCUCUUGGUGGGGAAUAGCCAUCCGAAAGGAUGGGUAAUACCGCAUAAUCCCCCCGGGGCAAAGCGCGUAACUGCGCGCCGAGAGAGGAGCCUGCUUGCUAUCAGCUAGUUGGUGGGGUAAAAGCCCACCAAGGUGAUGACGGCUAGGGGGUGUGAGAGCACGACCCCCCACAAGGUCACUGACAUACGGGGCCUACACCUACGGGUGGCAGCAACCGGGAAUAUUGCGCAAUGGACGAAAGUCUGACGCAGCGACACCGCGUGUGGGAUGAAUGCCUUCGGGUUGUAAACCACUGUGGCGAGGGAGGAAACAAAUGACAGUACCUCGCUAGAAAGCACCUGCUAACUACGUGCCAGAAGCCUCGGCAAUACGUAGGGUGCAAGCGUUAUCCGGAUUUACUGGGCGUAAAGGGUUUCGCAGGUUGGUAGUUUAGUCCAAUUUUAAAGCCCGCGGCUCAACCGCGGAAAUGGGUUGGAUACUGGCUAUCUUGAGGACAUCGGGGGAGACUGGAAUUCUAGGUGGAGGGGUGAAAUCCGUUGAUAUCUAGAGGAACGUCGAUGGCGAAGGCAAGUCUCUGGGGUGUUCCUGACACUCAUGUACGAAAGCUAGGGUAGCAAACGGGAUUAGAGACCCCGGUAGUCCUAGCCGUAAACGAUGGAUACUAGUUGCUCCUCUCCAAAGAAUGGAAUUCUUUGGAGAAGUAACAAGAUACAAAUUACAAGUUACAAACAAAUUUCAAUUCACAAAUAUCAAACAGUUUGUUUCUUGGUUAAUUGUUGAUUGUUGUUUCCAAAAAAUGAUUUGUAUUUUUUGGUGAGGGGUGACGUAAGCUAACGCGUUAAGUAUCCCGCCUGGGUAGUACGGCCGCAAGGCUAAAACUCAAAGGAAUUGACGGGGGAGCGCACAACCAGUGGAGCAUGUGGUUUAAUUCGAUACGAAGCGUAGUACCUUACCUGGACUUGACAUGUAUCUGCACGCCCUGGGAAACCAGGGAAGCCUACGAGGGUGAUACACAGGUGCUGCAUGGCUGUCGUCAGCUCGUGUCGUGAGACGUCUGCUUAAGUGCAGUAACGAGCGCAACCCCUGCCGUAUGUUGAAUAUUCAUGCGGGACUGCCUUACAGCAAGUAGGGAGGAAGGAGGGGACGACGUCAAGUCAGCAUGGCCCUUACGUCCAGGGCAACACACAUCCUACAAUGGGAAGGACGACGGGUUGCGAUCCGGUAACGGUAAGCUAAUCCUUCAAACCUUCUCUCAGUUCGAAUAGUGGGCUGAAAUUCGCCCACUUGAAGUCGGAAUUGGUAGUAAUCGCAGGUCAGCAGACUGCGGUGAAUACGUUCUCGCUCCUUGUACACACUGCCCGUCAAGCCAGCAAAGUCGGCAGAUCCCGAAGCGGGAGUCUGGAACCUAACUUGUUAGGACCAGCCCUUCUAAGGAUAGGUCGGCGAUGAGGACUAAGUCGUAACAAGG
rnacentral:rRNA from 1 species